rnacentral:miRNA from 1 species
UAAUAUUAUAUACUCUCUCUCUCUCUCUCUCUCUCUCUCUCUCACUCUCACUGUGUGUGUGUGUGUGUGUGAGAGAGAGAGAGAGAGAGAGAGAGAGAGAUUCUAACUCCU